GAAAAGACUUACGAUGGAUAUCUAGGCACUCAGAGAUAGAAAGGGCGUAAUCGACGAAAUGCUUCGAGGAGUUGAAAAUAAGCAUAGAUUCGGAGAUUCCUGAAUAGGGCAUCCUUUCAAACUACUACUGAAUCCAUGGAUAGGCAAGAGAUAACCUGGCAAACUUAAACAUCUUAGUAGUCAAAGGAAAAGAAAGCAAAACCGAUUCCCGUAGUAGCGAGGAGCAAAAUGGGAGCAGCCUAAAUCGUGAAAACGGGGUUGUGGUCGUGCUGCUAGGUAAAGCAACACGAAUGCUAUACCCUAGAUGGUGAAAGUCCAGUAGCCAAAAGCAUCACUAGCUUAUGCUCUAACCCGAGUAACAUGGGACACGUGGAAUCCCAUGUGAAUCAGCAAGGACCACCUUACAAGGCUAAAUACUUCUGGGUGACCAGUAGCGAAGUAGUACCGUGAGGGAAGGGUGAAAAGAACCCCCAUUGAGGAGUGAAAUAGAAUAUGAAACUGUAAGCUCCCAAGUAGUGGGAGGAACCAGGCCUCUGACCGCUUGCUUGUUGAAGAAUGAGCCGGCAUCUCAUAGGCAGUGGCUUAGUUAAGGGAACCCAUCGGAGCCGUAACGAAAGUGAGUCUUUAUAGGACAAUUGUCACUGCUUAUGGACCUAAAGCUGGGUGAUCUAUCUAUGACCAGGAUAAAGGUUGGGUGAAACUAAGUGGAGGUUCGAACUGACUGAUGUUAAAGAAUUAGUGGAUGAGUUGUUGUUAGGGGUGAAAUGCCACUCGAACCCAGAGCCAGCUGGUUCUCCCCGAGAUGCAUUGAGGCGUAGCAGUUGAUUGAACAUCUAGGGGUAAAGCACUAUUUUGGUGUGGGCUGUGAGAGCGGUACCAAAUUGAGGCAAACUUUGAAUACUAGAUAUGCCUCAAAAUAACAGGGGUCAAGGUCGGCCAGUAAGAUAAUGGGGGUAAGCUUCAUCAUUGAGAGGGAAACAGCCCAGAUCACCAACUAAGGCCCCUAAAUGAUAGCUCAGUGAUAAAGGAGGUAGGGAUGCAGAGACAGCUAGGAGGUUUUCCUAGAAGCAACCACCCUUGAAAGAGUACAUAAUAGCUCACUUAUCGAGUGCUCUUGCACCAAAGAUGAAUGGGGCUAAGCGAACUACUGAAGUUGUGGGAUGUAAAAAUACAUCAAUAAAGGAGCGUUCUAACUUAGAAGGAAGCCACCGUACGAGCAGUGGUGGACGAAGCGAAAGCGAGAAUGUUGGCUUGAGUAACGCAAACAUUGGUGAGAAUCCAAUGCCUCGAAAACCUAAGGGUUCCUCUACAAAGUUCAUCCAUGGAGGGUGACUCAGGGCCUAAGAUCAGGUCGAAAGGUGUAGUUAAUGGACAAUAGGUGAAUAUUCCUGUACUACCCCUUGUUGGUCCCAAGGGAUAGAGGAAGCUAGGUUAGUCGAAAGCUAGUUAUUGAUUCAAGAACGUAAGGUGCCCCUGCUUUUUUAGGGUAAGAAUGGGUAGAGAAAAUGCCUCGAGACAAUGUUCGAGUACCAGACGCAAUGGCGCUGAAGUAACCCACACCAUACUCCCAGGAAAAGCUUGAACGACCUUUAAAUAAUAGGAUACCUAUACCCAAAAUCAACACGGGUGGGUAGGUAGAGAAUACCUAGGAGCUCGAGACAACUCUCUCUAAGGUACUCAGCAAAAUAGCCCCGUAACUUUGAAAGAAGGGGUGCCUCCUCACAAAGGAGGUCUCAGUGACCAGGCUAAGACGACUGCUUACCAAAAACACAGGUCUUUGCAAAGUCGUAAGAUCAUGUAUGGGGGCUGACACCUGCCCAGUGUUAGAAGGUCAAGGAAGUUGGUAACUUGAUGAUAGGGGAGCCGACGACCAAAGUCCUGGUGAACGAUGACCAUAACUAUAACGGUCCUAAGGCAGCGAAAUUCCUUGUCGGGUAAGUUUCGACCAACACGAAAGGCGUAACGAUCUGGGCACUAUCUCGGAGAGAGGCUCGGUGAAAUAGACAUGUCUGUGAAGAUGCGGACUACCUACACCUGGACAGAAAGACCCAUAAAGCUUUACUAUUCCCUGGGAUUGGGUUUGGGCCUUUCCUACGUAGCUUAGGUGGAAGGCGAAGAAGGCCUCCUUCCGGGGAGCCCGAGCUAUCAGUGAGAUACCACUCUCGAAGAGCUAGAAUUCUAACCUUAUGUCAGGACCUACGAGCCAAGGGAUAAUCUCAAGUAGACAAUUUCUAUGGGGCGUAGGCCUCCCAAAAGGUAACUAAGGCGUGCAAAGCUUUCCUCAGGCUAGACAGAGAUUGGCCCUCAAGUGUAAAGGCAGAAGGGAGCUUGGUUGCAAGACCCACCCAUCGAGCAGGGACAAAAGUCGGCCUUAGUGAUCUGACUGUGUCGAGUGGAAGGGCCAUCGCUCAACGAAUGAAAGUUACUCUAGGGAUAACAGGCUAAUCUUUCCCAAGAGCUCACAUCGACGGGAAGGUUUGGCACCUCGAUGUCGACUCUUGCCACCUGGGGCUGUAGUAUGCUCCAGGGGUUAGGCUGUUCGCCCAUUAAAGUGCUACAUGAGCUGGGUUCAGAGCUUCGUGAGACAAUUCGGUCCAUAUCUGGUGUGGGCAUUAGAGCAUUGAGAGGACCUUUCCCUAGUACGAGAGGACUGGGAAGUACGCACCUCUGGUGUACCAGUUAUCGUGCCCAUGGUAAACACUGGGUAGCCAAGUGCGGAGUGGAUAACUACUGAAAGUAUCUAAUUAGUAAGCCCACCCCAAUUAUGACAUCCCUUCUCUCGCACUUCACACCUCGAAAUGCACUGUUCUUAUAGAGAUAAACGCACUUUCACAUCUUCUUAACCCGAAAUGAAAUGGCUGGAGAGGGAAGAGGAAAGGUUCCUUUUUUUAGGGUACUCUUAGGAACAUAUCCAGUGUAGACA
rnacentral:rRNA from 1 species